UACGUAGGGGUGCAAGCGUUGUCCGGAAUUAUUGGGCGUAAAGAGCUCGUAGGCAGCCUGUCGCGUCGGCUGUGAAAACCUGGGGCUCAACCCCGGGCCUGCAGCCGAUACGGGCAGGCUAGAAUUCGGUAGGGGAGACUGGAAUUCCUGGUGUAGCGGUGAAAUGCGCAGAUAUCAGGAGGAACACCGGUGGCGAAGGCGGGU
rnacentral:rRNA from 1 species